rnacentral:misc_RNA from 1 species
UUUUGUAUCAAUAGCCCAGACAACAUCUAUGGUACUGUUAGGUAGCCAAUAUACCUAAAAAUAUAAGUUUGAACUUGCUUUUCCUAUUAAGAACCAAUAUUUGUUUUGCAUUUCUUUUGUUAAGAGCACUACUUCAGCUGAGCAAUCUGAGAAGAAAAAACCAAAUUUGACAAAAAAAAUGGAAAUUGAAAGAACAAACGAAUAGGAAAGAGUAAGAAAGCUCUUCUCUGUGUUAGAGCAACAAUGUUCUGGGUGCAGCAGGCAUGAAAGGCAUAUCAGUGGAAUAAAAACUCUGUGAUAGCUGAUGGGAUGAACUUAAGAGUGUUGAGCCAGUGUCAUCCAAAGUUCACUUGGCAGCAGAAUCAUUGCUGAA